UACGGAGGGUGCAAGCGUUAUCCGGAAUCACUGGGUUUAAAGGGUGCGUAGGCGGCAUGAUAAGUCAGGGGUGAAAGCCUGCAGCUCAACUGUAGAAUCGCCUUUGAUACUGUUAUGCUUGAAUUAGGUUGAGGUCGGCGGAAUGUGACAUGUAGCGGUGAAAUGCAUAGAUAUGUCAUAGAACACCAAUUGCGAAGGCAGCUGGCUAGACCUGAAUUGACGCUGAGGCACGAAAGCGUGGGGAGGGAACAGG
rnacentral:rRNA from 1 species